CAGUGGGGGAAUAUUGCACAAUGGGCGCAAGCCUGAUGCAGCCAUGCCGCGUGUGUGAAGAAGGACCUUCGGGUUGUAAAGCACUUUCAGUCGUGAGGAAGGUAGUGUAGUUAAUAGCUGCAGUAUUUGACGUUAGCGACAGAAGAAGCACCGGCUAACUCCGUGCCAGCAGCCGCGGUAAUACGGAGGGUGCGAGCGUUAAUCGGAAUUACUGGGCGUAAAGCGCAUGCAGGUGGUUUGUUAAGUCAGAUGUGAAAGCCCGGGGCUCAACCUCGGAAUAGCAUUUGAAACUGGCAGACUAGAGUACUGUAGAGGGGGGUAGGAAUUUCAGGUGUAGCGGUGAAAUGCGUAGAGAUCUGAAGGAAUACCGGUGGCGAAGGCGGCCCCCUGGACAGAUACUGACACUCAGAUGCGAAAGCGUGGGGAGCAAACAGGAUUAGAUACCCUGGUAG
rnacentral:rRNA from 1 species